GACGAACGCCGGCGGCGUGCUUAACACAUGCAAGUCGAACGGAUUGCUUGGUGCUUGCACUGAGUGGUUAGUGGCGAACGGGUGAGUAACACGUGAGUAACCUGCCCCCUUCUUUGGGAUAAGCACCUGAAAGGGUGUCUAAUACUGAUUAUUCUGCUGGAAUCGCAUGGUUUUGGUUGGAAAGGUUUUUCUGGUGGGGGAUGGGCUCGCGGCUUAUCAGCUUGUUGGUGGGGUAAUGGCUUACCAAGGCUUUGACGGGUAACCGGCCUGAGAGGGUGACCGGUCACAUUGGGACUGAGAUACGGCCCAGACUCCUACGGGAGGCAGCAGUGGGGAAUAUUGCACAAUGGACGAAAGUCUGAUGCAGCGACGCCGCGUGAGGGAUGAAGGCCUUCGGGUUGUAAACCUUUUUCGCUUUUGACCAAGGCAGCAUUUUGGUGUUGUUGAGGGUAUGAGGUAAAGAAGCUCCGGCUAACUACGUGCCAGCCGCCGCCGUAAGAC
rnacentral:rRNA from 1 species